rnacentral:rRNA from 1 species
UACGGGGGGGGCAAGCGUUGUUCGGAAUUACUGGGCGUAAAGGGCUCGUAGGUGGCCAACUAAGUCGGACGUGAAAUCCCUCGGCUUAACCGGGGAACUGCGUCCGAUACUGGUUGGCUUGAGUUUGGGAGAGGGAUGCGGAAUUCCAGGUGUAGCGGUGAAAUGCGUAGAUAUCUGGAGGAACACCGGUGGCGAAGGCGGAUCUCUGGGCCAUUACUGACGCUGAGGAGCGAAAGCGUGGGGAGCGAACAGG